ACCUGGCCUCCGCCUCCCUUUCCCCGCCCCCUAACAUCCUCCCCUCCUCCCCGCCGCUCCUCCCCUCUCUCGACUAGUGUGUUUGGCGUUACCAGGGAGUCUGGAGAGGCCCGCGAGUGCAGUUUGUUGCCAGGGUAACCCGAGCGGCAAAAGGCAACCGAGGUGGCAGCUGCAGGGCAGCGAUGGGGACCAACCCGGUGCACGGCCUGCCCUUUCUCCCGGGCUCGUCCUUUACAGACUCCACGAAAACAGCAUUCCACCGAAGCCAGACACUCAACUACAGGAACGGCUAUGCAGUUGUCCGACGUCCCACCAUGGGGAUAGGUGGAGACCGGCUCCACUACAACCAGCUGUCUCAGGCCGAGCUGGAUGAACUGGCCAAUAAGGCACCCAUCUUAACUUACGGGCCACUCAAGCAAGCCCCACUUGCAGAGUUUGUUCCUGCGCAUGUGGCUUUUGACAAAAAGGUGCUGAAAUUUAGUGCCUACUUCCAAGAAGAUGUUCCCAUAUCAAUGGAGGAGCAUUACCGAAUCCGCCACGUGAACAUUUACUACUACCUAGAAGAUGACAGCAUGUCUGUCAUCGAGCCCGUAGUGGAGAACUCUGGGAUCCCACAAGGCAAGCUAAUCAAACGCCAGCGGUUCACCAAGAAUGAUAUGGGAGACCACUACCACUGGAAGGACCUCAACCGUGGAAUCAACCUUACAGUGUACGGCAAAACCUUCCGAAUUGUUGACUGUGACCGAUUCACUCAGGACUUUUUGGAAAGCCAAGGCAUUGAAUUAAAUCCAUCAGAGAAGAUACCCCUGGAUCCUUACACUCAACUCCGGAAAGAACCUGUGCGCAAAUAUGUCACCCCGUCAGACUUUGACCAACUGAAACAGUUUCUCACCUUUGACAAACAGGUCCUUCGAUUCUAUGCCAUCUGGGACGACACGGAUAGCUUGUUCGGGGAAUGUCGUCACUACAUCAUUCAUUACUACCUCAUGGAUGACACCGUGGAGAUCAGAGAGGUCCACGAACGGAACAACGGGAGAGACCCCUUCCCACUCCUCAUGAACCGACAGCGUAUGCCCAAAGUUUUGGUGGAGAAUGCAAAGAAUUUCCCGAAGUGUGUGCUGGAAAUCUCAGACCAAGAGGUGCUGGAGUGGUACACUGCCAAGGACUUCAUUGUGGGGAAGCCGCUCACCAUCCUGGGGAGGACCUUCUUCAUCUACGACUGUGACCCAUUCACACGACAGUUCUACAAAGACAAGUUUGGAAUGCCUGACUUACCACCAGUUGAUGUGACCAAGAAGGAGCCACCUCCAGUAAAACAGGAGUUGCCUCCUUAUAAUGGCUAUGGACUAAUUGAAGACUCUGCUCAGAAUUGUUUUGCUCUCAUUCCUAAAGCUCCCAGAAAAGAUGUCGUUAAAAUGCUGAUGAAUGACAAUAAGGUGCUCCGCUACCUGGCGGCCCUGGAAUCCCCUAUCCCAGAAGACAAAGACCGUCGGUUUGUCUUCUCUUAUUUUCUUGCCACGGAUAUGAUCAGUAUCUUUGAGCCACCUGUUCGAAAUUCUGGGAUCAUCGGGGGCAAAUUCCUGGGCAGGACUAAAGUUGUUAAAUCAUUCUCUCCAGUUGACAACCCCAUCUACUACUCACCAAGUGACUUCUUCAUCGGUGCCGUGAUUGAGGGGUUGGCAUCAUUUUGCUCCUGCUUGCAUGAGAGAAACAAAGCUGAAUUGAGUGUGAUGCUCCUCUCUCCUCAGUGUUCGGCCAUCGGUUCGUCAUCCUCGAUACAGAUGAGUAUGUUUUAAAAUACAUGGAGAGCAACGCUUCCCAGUAUUCACCAGAAGCCCUGGCCUCAAUUCAGAACCGGAUCCAGAAGCCGGAGCUUCCCGCACCAGAACUGGAAAGCAAGCAAGCUACAGGAGAACCCAUGGUGCAGGGUACAGAGGAAUCCAAGGUGCAGGACUUGGAUGCACUGAUAGACCAAAUCCAUAUGCACCUGAAAUACAAUUCAUGCAAAGAAAACCUCCGUGAAACAUUUCAAAUGUAUGACAAGGAUGAAUCGGGAUAUGUGGACAGAGAGACGUUCUUUAAAAUCUGUGAAACUCUUAAUGUCCCGGUCGAUGACUCGUUGAUUAAGGAGUUGAUCAGGCUGUGCACCCACGGAGAAGGCAGGAUUAACUACUAUAACUUUGUUCGAGCUUUCUCGAACUGACCUGAACGAGAGAAUGCGACAACAUUUUUGACACUGAGCCGACAUUGAGAAAUCUACCACCCAAGCCUUUCAAUAACUCCGGAAGUGGUAUUUCUUUUCCCACUCUUCUAUUUCACUAUUACUCAAGUCUAAAUUAAUAUUCAAAGAAUUGAA